UUCAAGAAUCAAAACAUGUAUUAUAAGAAAAAUAUAUAGUAGUGUUAUUGUAUCAAUAUUAGGUUAUGUUUCGUGGAAAAAAAUUGACACGGUAUCGGUUAUACUGAAAAAAAUAUGACAGUUAGUACCUUAAUCAUAUAAACACUGGAUAAAAGCAUUUUAAUUUUGCAUCAGUGUAAUUUCUAAUCGUAUUUUCAUAAUCCAUACUAUUGUAUAAAAUAUAUUGCACGAUGAGGCGAAAGGCAGGCGUUGGUGCUAUCCAAAAACAAAAGCUGGAGCAAGAAAAAUACAAAGAUAAGGGAACUGAGAUUCAAGAAAAUCAAUUUGAGCAAAUGACAAAACAGAUGGAAACUUUUCGUGUGAAUCUAGAGGAAUUCGCAACAAAAUAUAAAAAUGAAAUUAAAAAAAAUGCACGUUUUCGGCGGCAAUUUACCGAAAUGUGUGCAUCGAUAGGUGUAGAUCCUUUAGCCUCAGGUAAAGGAUUUUGGUCAGUUCUUGGAAUAGGAGACUUUUAUUACGAACUUGCUGUUCAAAUUGUUGAAGUUUGUAUGGCUACAAAUUAUAAAAAUGGUGGAUUAAUAUCAUUGGAUGAACUUAGAGCAAGAUUAAUUCAAGCUAGAGGCCGUAGGAAAGAACAUCAAGAAAUUACGAAUGAAGACUUACUAGCUGCAGCUAAAAAAUUAAAAAUUUUUGGGAAUGGAUUUUCUAUUGUUCCAAUUGGAAGAGGCAAACAUUUAGUUCAAUCUGUACCUGGUGAACUCAGUAUGGAUCAUACUGCCGUACUACAACAAGCUAGUUUAUCUGGAAAUGCAUAUGUUUCAAGAUCCAUGUUAUGUAAGGAAUUAAAAUGGGAAUCAGAUAGGACACAGAAAGCUUUGGACCAUAUGGUAAAAGAAGGACUGGCAUGGUUAGAUGAACAAGUUGGCGUGCUUGAGCCUCCCUGAAAACCUUAAGCUCGUCCGCAGUCAUGCCCUUGUAACGCGAGGCCAACGGUUUGUGCGGUCCAUGAAUGCUCUCCGCCUGCUCUUUGGCUUCCGUAAGGAAGUCCCCAGUCACGUGAUUGUAGAUAUCCGCCUUCUUCUCCUCCUCCUCUUGAAGGGCUUCGCAGCGGCGACGGUAUUCCUGUUCCUCUGCCUAUCGUUGGAAGGGGAAAAACGGAGCCGGUCAUUCGACUAAAACGUACGUCCAACGGAGCGUGACAACUCGAAAAGAAAAAAAAAAAGUCAAGGACGGGAACGCGUGGAAAGAGAUGGGGAAGCGACUGGAUGAUCGUUCGCCGUAUUAUUACCGAGACUCGUGAGUCGAUGACGUCACCAAGUUUGCUCAUCGACCGUAUAGCAGCCUCGCCAUCGCUGUAAACGGCGCUCACCUUCGGCGAAGGUUUAUGUUAACUGUGUGUGGAUCGUGUUCAGGACGCGUUAAGCGGCCGAGUAACAAUGAUUCGCUCAUCGGUACGGUGACACGAGGGCGAAUAUCAUCAGCGACCAGAACAGAACACUCGUAUCAAGAAUAACGAGAUUUUGCUUGCGUUGAACUUUGACAUUUCACGGUUCAACGUCAUUGGCUCGUUCGUGACAAGAGGCUUACGAGAGGGAGAUUUUAAAUCAAUUAAUGCGAUGGAGAGUCAUCAAGCGUUAAUUAUCUGAAUUUUCACUUUCUCGUCGUACAUCGAUACCAACACGCAAACAACUAGAAGCCAGAACGAGGUUUGUGCUCGAUCUCUAUCCGUGUGAAAAGAUUCGAUUUUCCUUCAUGCAUGGAAUUGUCAGAUAAUGAGAUUCUUAUCUUUUUCUUGCAGUUUCCGAAACAUGCAGUUCCCGGAUGUUUGAUCAAAGGACUAUAUGGAAGAAAGCCUUACCAUGGCUUGAUUAAAUCGUGCGGUAGCUUCGUUUAACUUUCGACGACAGUCUUCUUCCAUCUGAGCUAUCUUCAUGGCACGCUUGUCUCUGGAGAGGAUGGCUGCUUCCUGAGCUUUGUCGAAUUCAUCCUGUUCGCUCUUGGCGGACAGAUGUUCCUGCAUUUGUUCUCGAUCCACCACCUCAUCUCUUCUUUCUUUGCCUUCAACUUUUCCUUUAAGUCAUCCUCUUCGCCUUUUAAUCUAUAUGGUUUUUAGAAAAUUAAAUAUUUUAACGAAAUUAAAAUCGGAGAGAAAUGGAAUCAAAAUGAUAACAAUAAUUACAGCUCGCUGAAAGAUAGAUCGCGAUCGUCUUUUUUCGGCAGAUCGCAUUCCUGGCGUAAUUGAUAUUGCUGCCUAUAAUGCUCGAUCUCUUUGUGGAUCUUUCGCCUUUCCUGGAAUAUCAAUCAUCGAUAAAACGUAUAAUCCUAGUUUCGCUAAGAAAGAAGAAAAGAACGAACAAAAGUAAAACGGAUGAAACAAACCGAUCCUACAACUUUGAAGCAAAAUGUUGUCGAGUUCGGAUUCUCGGGCUUCUUCCAGUUCACGUUGCUGCUUCUUUUCCUCGACCUGUUUGUCCAAGAAUUCCUUGUCUAUCUGCGGACAGCACGUUAUAAAAAAAUUGUUAUCGGACGUUUCUCGAUAAUGAAUCACAAUACUUAUCGUUGUUUCGCGUGCGGAUUCUUUUUUAUCGUUUCACACGAAUGCAUUCACACGAAUCGAUCGUACAACACGCUAAC
rnacentral:misc_RNA from 1 species